rnacentral:rRNA from 1 species
CACGUAGGGUGCGAGCGUUGUCCGGAAUUAUUGGGCGUAAAGAGCUCGUAGGCGGUGUGUCGCGUCGGCCGUGAAAACCUGCAGCUUAACUGUGGGCUUGCGGUCGAUACGGGCAUCACUGGAGUUCGGGCAGGGGAGACUGGAAUUCCUGGUGAUAGCGGUGAAAUGCGCAGAUAUCAGGAGGAACACCCGGUGGCGAAGGCGGGCUCU